rnacentral:rRNA from 1 species
UACGAAGGGAGCUAGCGUUACUCGGAAUAACUGGGCGUAAAGCGCAUGUAGGCGGAAAUACAAGUCAGGUGUGAAAUCCCGAGGCUCAACCUCGGAAUUGCCUUUGAAACUGUAUUUCUUGAGUAUGGCAGAGGAUGGUGGAAUUUCCAGUGUAGAGGUGAAAUUCGUAGAUAUUGGAAAGAACACCGGUGGCGAAGGCGACCAUCUGGGCCAUAACUGACGCUGAGAUGCGAAAGCGUGGGGAGCGAACGGG